UACAGAGGGGGCAAGCGUUAUUCGGAAUUAUUGGGCGUAAAGGGCGCGUAGGCGGCUUUGCAAGUGGCGGGUGAAAUCCCCCGGCUUAACCGAGGAACUGCCUGUCAAACUGCAUGGCUUGAGACCAGGAGAGGUGAGUGGAAUUCCCAGUGUAGCGGUGAAAUGCGUAGAUAUUGGGAGGAACACCAGUGGCGAAGGCGGCUCACUGGACUGGUACUGACGCUGAUGCGCGAAAGCGUGGGGAGCAAACAGG
rnacentral:rRNA from 1 species